UGAAUUUUACUCCAUCAUAGUAUAUUAUGGGGUAUUUUUGAACAUGAAUAAACCGAAGUACGAAUUCCUAAUAUUUGUUCUUUUGUCUCACUGGAUUCAUUUUCUUUAAAAUAUUUUUUAUCAUCCUCAGUCCUAAAUGAUGAUAUAACUGAAUAUCUUUGGCAUGUAGUGCAAAGAUGAAUGAUUUCCUGAUGAACAUCUUUGGCCCGUAGUGCAAAGAUGGACAGGUGUUGAGAUGAGCAUGACCAACUG
rnacentral:lncRNA from 1 species